rnacentral:rRNA from 1 species
UACAGAGGUCUCAAGCGUUGCUCGGAAUUAUUGGGCGUAAAGGGUAGGUAGGUGGUCUUAUUUGUCUGGGGUGAAAGCCUUGAGCUUAACUCAAGAAGUGCCCCAGAAACGGUAAGACUAGAGUCCUGGAGAGGGUCGUGGAAUUCCCGGUGUAGCGGUGAAAUGCGUAGAGAUCGGGAGGAACACCAGAGGCGAAGGCGGCGACCUGGACAGGCACUGACACUCAACUACGAAAGCGUGGGGAGCAAACAGG